rnacentral:rRNA from 1 species
UACGUAGGGGGCAAGCGUUGUCCGGAAUCAUUGGGCGUAAAGAGCGUGUAGGCGGUUCGGUAAGUCGGCUGUGAAAGUCCAGGGCUCAACCCUGGGAUGCCGGUCGAUACUGCCGGACUAGAGUUCGGAAGAGGCGAGUGGAAUUCCUGGUGUAGCGGUGGAAUGCGCAGAUAUCAGGAGGAACACCAAUAGCGAAGGCAGCUCGCUGGGACGUUACUGACACUGAGGCGCGAAAGCGUGGGGAGCGAACAGG